GUGAAAUUGUUGAAAGGGAAACGGUUGAAGUCAGUCAUGCCGGCGGGAAUCAACUUAGGGGAAACUCUGAGUGGACUUCUUCGCUUGGCAGGUUAGCGUCGAUUUUGGAUGUCAGAAAAGGACUGGGGGAAGGUAGCUCUUUCGGGAGGGUUAAGCCCUUAGUAGAUGUGAUGUCCGGGAUCGAGGAUUGCAACGGAUACCUUUUGGGCUAACCGCCUAGUCUCUAAUAUGAAGUUGGGUUAUGGACAGCACGCUGACUGUGAUCUGAUUUUCGAUUAAAAGAUUAGAGCGAGUGUAAAUUCGUUAAGGACGCUGACGUAAUGGCUUUAAACGAC
rnacentral:rRNA from 1 species